rnacentral:lncRNA from 1 species
UUGAUGAAUUUUAUCAAAGAGAGGGAUAUAAAGAAAAAAAAGAGAGAAACAGUAAACUUUGUUCAUCGCAAGGAAUGGAGUUUGUUAGCAUUCCAAACUUCGUUAGGAAUCGUAAUUUGAAACGAGAAAUGGAAGAAAGUGUCUGGAAAAUUAAUAAAUUUGCAUAUUUGUCUAAAUAUUUGCGUUUGAAGUGGAAAAUGCUAAUUAAAGAAAAGGCAAGCUGAAAAUUAUUCCCAACCAGAAUAUAAAAUUUAACAAACAAUUAUUUUCUACUCACCUAGUAAAGACAAGGCACAGUAACGUAGCACUAAGGAUCAUAAGUUGCUGACUUAAAGCUGAUUGAGAUUUUUGCAUAGCUCUGUGCAGAUCGUUCUGAAAAAAAAAAAA